rnacentral:rRNA from 1 species
UACGUAGGGCGCAAGCGUUGUCCGGAAUUAUUGGGCGUAAAGAGCUCGUAGGCGGCUUGUCACGUCGAUUGUGAAAGCCCGAGGCUUAACCUCGGGUCUGCAGUCGAUACGGGCUAGCUAGAGUGUGGUAGGGGAGAUCGGAAUUCCUGGUGUAGCGGUGAAAUGCGCAGAUAUCAGGAGGAACACCGGUGGCGAAGGAGGAUCUCUGGGCCAUUACUGACGCUGAGGAGCGAAAGCGUGGGGAGCGAACAGG